AAACUUAAAGGAAUUGACGGAAGGGCACCACCAGGAGUGGAGCCUGCGGCUUAAUUUGACUCAACACGGGAAAACUCACCAGGUCCAGACAUAGUAAGGAUUGACAGAUUGAGAGCUCUUUCUUGAUUCUAUGGGUGGUGGUGCAUGGCCGCUCUUAGUUGGUGGAGUGAUUUGUCUGGUUAAUUUCGAUAACGAACGAGAUCCGAGCUGUUUAGUUGGCCAUUUCCGUUUUGGCGGGUAUGUGUCUCCUAUAUGGACUAUCAGUUUGAGGCUGAAGGAAGUUUCGGGCUAAAUCAGGUCUGUGAUGCCCUUAG
rnacentral:rRNA from 1 species